UACGUAGGGUGCGAGCGUUAAUCGGAAUUACUGGGCGUAAAGGGUGCGCAGGCGGUUAUAUAAGACAGAUGUGAAAUCCCCGGGCUCAACCUGGGAACUGCGUUUGUGACUGUAUGACUAGAGUACGGUAGAGAGGGGUGGAAUUCCUGGUGUAGCAGUGAAAUGCGUAGAUAUCAGGAGGAACAUCGAUGGCGAAGGCAGCCCCCUGGGUCAAAACUGACGCUCAUGCACGAAAGCGUGGGGAGCAAACAGG
rnacentral:rRNA from 1 species